rnacentral:rRNA from 1 species
AUUGAACGCUGGCGGCAGGCCUAACACAUGCAAGUCGAGCGGAUGAAGGGAGCUUGCUUCUGGAUUCAGCGGCGGACGGGUGAGUAAUGCCUAUGAAUCUGCCUGGUAGUGGUGUAUAACGUCCUCAAACGGGCGCUAAUACCGCCUACGUCCUGAUCGAGAAAGUUGGUGAUCUUCGGACCUCACCGUAUCAGAUGAGUCUAGGUCGGAUUUGCUAGUUGGUUGGGUAAAGGGCUACCAAGGCGACGAUUCGUAGCUGGUCUGAGAGGAUGAUCAGUCACACUGGAACUGAGACACGGACCAGACGACUGAGGGACGCAGCAGUGGGGAAUGUUAGACAGUGGGGGAGAGCAUGAUCCAGCCAUGCGGAGUGUGUGAAGAAGGUGUUCGGAGUGGAAAGCACGUUAAGUUGGGAGGAAGGGCAGUAAGUUAAGACGUAGCGGGAUUGACGGUACCAGCAGAAGAAGCACCGGCUAACUACGUG